rnacentral:rRNA from 1 species
AAGACCUUGUGCUUUUGGAGCGGCCGAUGCCUGAUUAGCUAGUUGGUAAGGUAAAGGCUUACCAAGGCUUCGAUCAGUAGUUGGUCUGAGAGGACGACCAGCCACACUGGGACUGAGACACGGCCCAGACUCCUACGGGAGGCAGCAGUGGGGAAUUUUGGACAAUGGGGGAAACCCUGAUCCAGCCAUGCCGCGUGAGUGAAGAAGGCCUUCGGGUUGUAAAGCUCUUUCAGUUGGGAAGAAAAGAUUACGACUAAUAAUCGUGAUUCAUGACGGUAUCAACAGAAGAAGCACCGGCUAACUACGUGCCAGCAGCCGCGGUAAUACGUAGGGUGCAAGCGUUAAUCGGAAUUACUGGGCGUAAAGGGUGCGCAGGCGGUCUUGUAAGUCAGAUGUGAAAUCCCCGGGCUUAACCUGGGAACU